rnacentral:rRNA from 1 species
AACGAACGCUGGCGGCAGGCCUAACACAUGCAAGUCGAGCGAGGACUUCGGUCCUAGCGGCGGACGGGUGAGUAACGCGUGGGAACGUGCCCUUUGCUUCGGAAUAGCCCUGGGAAACUGGGAGUAAUACCGGAUGAGCCCCUUGGGGGAAAGAUUUAUCGGCGAAGGAUCGGCCCGCGUUGGAUUAGGUGGUUGGUGGGGUAAUGGCCUACCAAGUCGACGAUCCAUAGCUGGUUUGAGAGGAUGGUCAGCCACACUGGGACUGAGACACGGCCCAGACUCCUACGGGAGGCAGCAGUGGGGAAUCUUAGACAAUGGGGGAAACCCUGAUCUAGCCAUGCCGCGUGAGCGAUGAAGGCCUUAGGGUUGUAAAGCUCUUUCAGCUGGGAAGAUAAUGACGGUACCAGCAGAAGAAGCCCCGGCUAACUCCGUG